ACAUAACUUCCGGUGAAGGAUGAGUUGAGCAGGCGCGACAUUGACCGCUCAAUCGCUUAAUACGCUGGCCGGUCUCCUCAAGAAGAAUGGAAAUAAAUGAGGGUCAUGACCCGUAUUGAGCGAGAGUAAUAGAAGAGAUCUCGCGAUUCUUUCAGCCUUCAAUUCCAACUAUUUCGCAGUUUAUCCGUUGCAGACGCUGGUACCUCGUAAACUCAUCGACACACAAUUCUAAUUUGGUUAUUUCUGCGUAGAAAGUGUAUGAUUCGUUAGCUAGUUAUUUCGAAGUUUAAGUGAAGUUUUGAAUUUUUUCUCGAGAAGUUAUUAUAUAAUUAUUUACAAGUUGUAUAAUUAUUUACAAGUUGUAUAAUUAUUUAAUAGUCUACGUCAACGAUGCUACGCGUUUGUGUUUCGUUAACAAGUAUAGGCGAUAUCACGUUUAUAUUUAUAAACCAAACAUUUCCAAACAAUAGAAUAAAAGACCUUGAUAAACCAUGACGCGAUUAUCUGCGAAAAGAACGCGAAGCUGAGGUAUCGGUCACGACGAAGAUAUCCGCGAAGGACGGCAAUUACAUUUCCUCGCGCCUAACAAGCAUAAUAUCCGAAGCGGCUAUUUUCUAUGCUCGUGUAAAGCCCAAUCCCCUCCAGCGAGAAGGUCAGAAGUCAGGAAAAAAGAAGCAGAAAGGGGGAGAGAAGCAGAUAAAGUGCUUGAUGGUGGGUGACAAGCUAAUAUCGAGGAUGGUAAGGUGGCCGAAGGGACCGACUAGGAGGCAAUAUCUUGUAAUGGAUGUGAUGUUUCUCGGCAAACUCAUUCCAUGGAAGGAAUGUGCGCUCACGAAACAAGUCACAAGCGAAACGCACGGAAUGUAAUGCUCGUGGGUCAGCACGCAUGAGCGGUACGUAAACGCACGGGGAAGACAAACAGAAACAGGACCGAUGGCGAAGAGAAGGAGGGAGGGAGGCAGAGGAGCGUUCGGAUGAAGAGAGCAAUAGGAAACGAGAGAGAUGAGGUGAUUAGAAACAACAACAAAAAAAAAAAAAAAGAAAAAAAGAAAAGAAAGAAAAGAAAGUAUAUAGUUUGAGAUAACUGGCGGUUGACGAACGCGCGUGUAUCUCGUAAAUGACGCUCUGUGCUAGCGGUUAUCCAGUUGACAAAAUCCCGUUUAUUGCGACAACGUUUCAAUUACGUCUCGAGCGAAAUGAACGAAACGAGUUGAUCGAAUUGCAUACAGCUUCCAUACAAAUUCGACACGUUCGCUCGCUCCGAAAUCGAAUACACAUCUAGGUCUGUGAAUCGUCAAUUACGCCUAUGCCACGCUCGACGAUUCUCCAACAUCUGAUUCUACAUAAAUUUAUAAAACGUCGACCGAUAGUUUAUACGGUUAGCAAGCGUCCAAGGUUCCGGAUGAAACGCAAUGUGCCUGUGACGUGCAGUAACCAUGAACGGUCGUGUACGAUGUCGAGCGCGCGCACACACAUAUACAAAGACGCGCGCGCGCGCGUGUUCACAAUCACACAUGGGCGUACUAUGCCGUGAACGAAAUUUCUGUAAGGUGUCUUGCCUUACCGUGUGCGAAAUUACCGGCUGACUGAUGGCAACAGUCCCAUGGCGAUUCGAUUACAUUCUAUCACGAUUCCUCUUGCGCCGGUCUGCACACUCGAGUGUCUACGCACUCGACUUCUCUACUCACGAAAAAAUAAAAAAAAAAACGAACGAACUUUACAGAAGAAGCGCGCGUUUCU